AGUGAAUAGAUACCCGGGUAGUCCCAGCUGUAAACGAUGCGCGUUAGGUGUAUCGGUGACCACGAGUCACCGAGGUGCCGAAAGGGAAACCGUGAAACGUGCCGCCUGGGAAGUACGGUCGCAAGGCUGAAACUUAAAGGAAUUGGCGGGGGGAGCACCACAACAGGUGGAGCCUGCGGUUUAAAUCGGACUCAACGCCGGGAAGCUCACCGGAUAAGACAGCUGAAUGAUAGCCGGGUUGAAGACUCUGCUUGACUAGCUGAGAGGAGGUGCAUGGCCGUCGUCAGUUCGUACUGUGAAGCAUCCUGUUAAGUCAGGCAACGAGCGAGACCCACGCCAACAGUUGCCAGCAUGUCCUCCGGGAUGGUGGGGACACUGUUGGGACCGCCUCUGCUAAAGAGGAGGAAGGAAUGGGCAACGGUAGGUCAGCAUGCCCCGAAUUAU
rnacentral:rRNA from 1 species